GUAGGUGGCAAGCGUUGUCCGGAAUUAUUGGGCGUAAAGCGCGCGCAGGCGGUUCUUUAAGUCUGAUGUGAAAGCCCACGGCUCAACCGUGGAGGGUCAUUGGAAACUGGAGAACUUGAGUACAGAAGAGGAAAGCGGAAUUCCACGUGUAGCGGUGAAAUGCGUAGAGAUGUGGAGGAACACCAGUGGCGAAGGCGGCUUCCUGGUCUGUAACUGACGCUGAGGCGCGAAAGCGUGGGGAGCAAACAGGAUUAGAUACCCUGGUAGUCCACGCCGCAAACGAUGAGUGCUAAGUGUUAGGGGGUUUUCCGCCCCUUAGUGCUGCAGCUAACGCAUUAAGCACUCCGCCUGGGAGUACGGCCGCAAGGCUG
rnacentral:rRNA from 1 species